UACGUAGGGACCAAGCGUUGUCCGGAAUCAUUGGGCGUAAAGCGCGCGUAGGUGGCCAUUUAAGUCCGCUGUGAAAGUCAGAGGCUCAACCUUUGAAAGCCGGUGGAUACUGGAUGGCUAGAGUACGGAAGAGGCGAGUGGAAUUCCUGGUGUAGCGGUGGAAUGCGCAGAUAUCCGGAGGAACACCAGCGGCGAAGGCGGCUUUCUGGUCUGAUACUGACGCUGAGGCGCGAAAGCGUGGGGAGCGAUCCGG
rnacentral:rRNA from 1 species